AGUGAACGCUGGCGGUAGGCCUAACACAUGCAAGUCGAACGGCAGCACAGUAAGAGCUUGCUCUUACGGGUGGCGAGUGGCGGACGGGUGAGGAAUACAUCGGAAUCUACUUUUUCGUGGGGGAUAACGUAGGGAAACUUACGCUAAUACCGCAUACGACCUACGGGUGAAAGCAGGGGAUCUUCGGACCUUGCGCGAUUGAAUGAGCCGAUGUCGGAUUAGCUAGUUGGCGGGGUAAAGGCCCACCAAGGCGACGAUCCGUAGCUGGUCUGAGAGGAUGAUCAGCAACACUGGAACUGAGACACGGUCCAGACUCCUACGGGAGGCAGCAGUGGGGAAUAUUGGACAAUGGGCGCAAACCUGAUCCAGCCAUACCGCGUGGGUGAAGAAGGCCUUCGGGUUGUAAAGCCCUUUUGUUGGGAAAGAAAAGCAGCAGGUUAAUACCCCGCUGUUCUGACGGUACCCAAAGAAUAAGCACCGGCUAACUUCGUG
rnacentral:rRNA from 1 species